rnacentral:misc_RNA from 1 species
GAUGAAGAACGUAGCGAAAUGCGAUAAGUAAUGCGAAUUGCAGAAUUCAGUGAGUCAUCGAAUCUUUGAACGCACAUUGCGCCCGCUGGUAUUCCGGCGGGCAUGCCUGUUCGAGCGUCAUUUCAACCCUCAAGCUCUCCGGAGUUUGGUGUUGGGGCGCCUGGGGCUUUUCGACCUCAGGGCCCUCAAGUCCAUCGGCGGGACCGCCAGGACACUGAGCGCAGUAGUAUUAUUUCGCUCGGUAGGAUCUUCCACGGCGGGUCGAUCUGGCCGCUAAACCCCCCAAUUCUCACCAAAGGUUGACCUCGGAUCAGGUAGGAAUACCCGCUGAACUUAAGCAUAUCAAUAAGCGGAGGA